rnacentral:rRNA from 1 species
AUUGAACGCUGGCGGCAGGCCUAACACAUGCAAGUCGAACGGUAACAGGAAGAAGCUUGCUUCUUUGCUGACGAGUGGCGGACGGGUGAGUAAUGUCUGGGAAACUGCCUGAUGGAGGGGGAUAACUACUGGAAACGGUAGCUAAUACCGCAUAACGUCGCAAGACCAAAGAGGGGGACCUUCGGGCCUCUUGCCAUCGGAUGUGCCCAGAUGGGAUUAGCUAGUAGGUGGGGUAACGGCUCACCUAGGCGACGAUCCCUAGCUGGUCUGAGAGGAUGACCAGCCAAACUGGAACUGAGACACGGUCAAGACUCCUACGGGAGGCAGCAGUGGGGAAUAUUGCACAAUGGGCGCAAGCCUGAUGCAGCCAUGCCGCGUGUAUGAAGAAGGCCUUCGGGUUGUAAAGUACUUUCAGCGGGGAGGAAGGGAGUAAAGUUAAUACCUUUACUCAUUGACGUUACCCGCAGAAGAAGCACCGGCUAACUCCGUG